CUUCCUCAAUCAACUGAGGGCAAAUAAAGUGUACAUGGGCAUCAAUACCACCCGCGGUGACGAUCAUACCUCCAGCCGAGAUGACGUCUGUCGAAUUUCCUAUGAUAAGGUCGGGGUGGACACCCUGUUGGGUAUCAGGGUUUCCCAGCUUUGCCAAUAGCAUGGAUAAGACCGUCUUUGAUACCAAUAUCGGCUUUGUAGAUUCCUGACCAGUCGAUGAUGAGUGCAUUGACGAUGACAACAUCCAAAGCUUCGGCAGAGGAGCGGUUGGUAGCUUGACCCAUGCCUUCGCGGAU
rnacentral:sRNA from 1 species